CGUCUCCCCAGGCUGCCCAAGCGACAGCUGUCAGAGGGACUGGAGCUUCUGGGAACCGCCAUCUGAAGGCUACGUGUGCCGCCUGGUCAUUCAAAUUGUCAAUUUUAGGCCCAGAAGUGUCCAAACCACAAGUUCUCAAAACUCUCUGAAAAAUGGCUACCUCCGAGUUAAGCAAUUCUGAAAGGCAUUCUCUGGGAAAAGUCUGUGGAGAAGCAGGGAUCUUCUUGCAAAUAAUGUGGUCUCGGGCAAAGACUCAGCAUCUUGGCUGUCUGCUCAAAAAAUGCAUAGACUCUUGGUGGAAAUUGUGUGUCGAGCUGCAAAACCUCAAUUGGCAGAUUAUCAUCA